GCCGGCCUGGCUCAACUGGUAGAGCAACUGACUUGUAAUCAGUAGGUUGGGGGUUCAAGUCCUCUGGCCGGCACCA
rnacentral:tRNA from 1 species